rnacentral:rRNA from 1 species
GAUGAAUGCUGGCGGCGUGCCUAACACAUGCAAGUCGAGCGGCAGCGCGAGUAGUUUACUACUUGGCGGCGAGCGGCGGACGGCUGAGUAACGCGUGGGAACGUGCCCCAAAGUGAGGAAUAACUGCCCGAAAGGGUGGCUAAUACCGCAUAUGAUCUUCGGAUUAAAGUCUUCGGACGCUUUGGGAGCGGCCCGCGUCGGAUUAGGUUGUUGGUGAGGUAAUGGCUCACCAAGCCGACGAUCCGUAGCUGGUCUGAGAGGAUGAUCAGCCAGACUGGGACUGAGACACGGCCCAGACUCCUACGGGAGGCAGCAGUGAGGAAUCUUCCACAAUGGGCGAAAGCCUGAUGGAGCAACGCCGCGUGCAGGAUGAAGGCCUUCGGGUCGUAAACUGCUUUUAUGAGUGAAGAAUAUGACGGUAACUCAUGAAUAAGCACCGGCUAACUACGUGCCAGCAGCCGCCGUAA